rnacentral:rRNA from 1 species
AUACGGAGGAUCCGAGCGUUAUCCGGAUUUAUUGGGUUUAAAGGGUGCGCGGCGGGAGAUUAAGUCGGCGGUGAAAUUUUGCAGCUCAACUGUAAAAGUGCCUUCGAAACUGGUUUCCUUGAGUGUAGAUGACGUAGGCGGAAUUUGUGGUGGAGCGGGGAAAUGCAUAGAUAUCACGAGGAACUCCGAUUGCGCAGGCAGCUUACUAAACUACUACUGACGCUCAGGCACGAAGGCGUGGGGAUCAAACAGGAUUAGAUACCCUGGUAGUCCACGCAGUAAACGAUGAUUACUAGCUGUUUGCGAUACAAUGUAAGCGGCUGAGCGAAAGCGUUAAGUAAUCCACCUGGGGAGUACGUUCGCAAGAAUGAAACUCAAAUGAAUUGACGGGG